AUGCUUAUACUUUCUUUUUCCCACAAGAUGCUUCACAGUAUCUUCUUCUUAGGGAACAUUCGUGAUGCACAGUUUGACCCAAAUUUGAUCUUUGAUGACGAAGAAAUCUUUGAGGAAAUACGGGAGCUAUUCAGAGGGCCAUUUGUAAAAUACUCAACAGAAGUUGCUGUACGGACACCUUUCUCCUACUUCCUUGACUUGGUUGUGAGCACCUCUACAAAUCAGGAGGAAAUGAAGACUGUACUGUCUGACACAUUACGUCAGUGUAAAGGUUCAGGCAUUAAAUGUACCUUGAUUUCAUCAGUCAUAUGUAUCUGUGAGGUAUCUGGGAAACGCUAUUAUGGCGGGUCUCUGUCCUGUCCAGGUGACGUAGAGAGAGAGAUCAUGACUGCUGUGUCCUGCUUUCAAGUUUGGGAUAACUAUGUUACUUCUGCUGUUCUGAGUGUGUUUCCUGAGGACAGAACUGAACCAGUUUCCAUGACACUGCCCAGUUCAGUUGAGUGCAGGGCGUAUGCCAUAGAGAAUCUCAGUGAGGUGAAGGCUCCUUGUCUGCGAUGCCAUGAGCUGUACUCUCUGCCCAAUCACUCAGAUAAUAAGAAUAAGCCUGGAAAUUGUGCUGAAACUGAGGCUAUAAGUAACCUUCUUACAAAUGAGGCUGAGGUGAAAAACGGUACCAGAAUGAAUGGACCUGUUCUUGAAGAAGAAUACAUUCAGGAAAGAAUGAUGCACCACUUUAACAGCAAAAUAAAUCAAGGCAAUUACAGUAUUAACAGAAUCUAUGAAAGUGAAUAAAAGGAAGGUCAAUAUGAAGUAACAAAAGGAAGCUGUUUAAAGUCCAGAAGUUCAGAGAUCCAAAACGCUGAGUACAAAUACUCUUCCAGCUUCUCUUAAUAUGAAUAUGAGACAUAUUAAUGCAUGCAGGUAAAAAACAAUGUGAUUUAACAAACAAAUUAUAUCCACUGUACCUAUAUAUACUUAUGUGUAUUAUUUCUGUAAAAAUGUUUAUUUGUUUUAAACUAUUUCUGUUUACUGUUUACAAUAAAUAUGCAAUGUCAAAGAUCA
rnacentral:lncRNA from 1 species